UGAUGUGUACGUGAAUCAUCGAAUCUUUGAACGCACCUUGCACUUAAAUAGUCAAUAUUUAAGUAUACCUGUUUGAGUAUCAUAAACAUUUAUCCAAUUUAUUGGGAUUUGAGAGAUCAGUGUUACGGCGUUGUCUCUUUAAAUGUAGUGAGGAAUCAAGGUAAAGAGCACUUUAUUCUUGGAUGAGGAUAUUUACUCUAGUAGUAAACUAAUCAUAUGAGAUGAAGCAGCGAUACUUUGGAUCCUUUUGCUGCCACUUGUUGGCAACAAUCUGUACAAAUGUGAUCUCAAAUCAGGCAAGACUACCCGCUGAACUUAAGCAUAUCAAUAAGCGGAGG
rnacentral:rRNA from 1 species